rnacentral:ribozyme from 1 species
AAAAGGGUAAACCAAGGAAACUGAGCAAGAGUGACGAUGGUAGCAGAGGCGGUGGGGUAUUAGAGAACACGACGAGAGAAGUAAAGAAAAAGG